rnacentral:tRNA from 1 species
UCCUUUAUAGCUCAAAAGGCAGAGCGAUUGACUGUUAAUUAAUUUGAUGUUGGUUCAAGUCCAUCUGAAGGAG